GAUGGGGCAUCAGGGUGCUGGAUGAGGAUCUGGCUCUGCUCUGGGCGGGCUGUCACCAUGGUGCUGGCAGUACCCACCACCAUUCCACAACCACCAUUGAUUGAGGAGACUUGGUGCUGGUUAUACAGGCUAUUGACUUCGUGAAAAUUCAAGACAGUAUCCACAACCUUCUGUUCAUGCGGUGGAGGAAGAAAUUGCUUCCCAGAAAGGCUUAGCCCACUCCAUUCUACUAGAUAAAGGAAAAACAAAAAGCCACUCCACUCUGACAAGCUGAUUACUGUCUAUGGAGAAGCAAAAUGCCUCCCUUAGGACUAUGGGAACAGCCAACAAGAAAGAGAACAGAAGCCAAGAUACUUAUAAGGGAC